rnacentral:rRNA from 1 species
GACGAACGCUGGCGGCGUGCCUAAUACAUGCAAGUAGAACGCACAGUUUAUACCGUAGCUUGCUACACCAUAGACUGUGAGUUGCGAACGGGUGAGUAACGCGUAGGUAACCUGCCUGGUAGCGGGGGAUAACUAUUGGAAACGAUAGCUAAUACCGCAUAAUAUUAAUUAUUGCAUGAUAAUUAAUUGAAAGGUGCAAUUGCACCACUACCAGAUGGACCUGCGUUGUAUUAGCUAGUAGGUGAGGUAACGGCUCACCUAGGCGACGAUACAUAGCCGACCUGGGAGGGGGAUCGGCCACACUGGGACUGAGACACGGCCCAGACUCCUACGGGAGGCAGCAGUAGGGAAUCUUCGGCAAUGGACGAAAGUCUGACCGAGCAACGCCGCGUGAGUGAAGAAGGUUUUCGGAUCGUAAAGCUCUGUUGUAAGAGAAGAACGGGUGUGAGAGUGGAAAGUUCACACUGUGACGGUAUCUUACCAGAAAGGGACGGCUAACUACGUG